GCCAUCAUAGAUCAGCGGUAGAUUUCCUCCUCACAAUCACAAUCCAUGAUGCACCAUUACGGAGGCGACGUGGGUUCGACUCCCACCGAGGGCA